rnacentral:misc_RNA from 1 species
UUUCAGGAGGAAUUUCUCCACUCAAUUUAUUGUGGGAAAGAUCCAUUCUAGAAAGCGAGAGGAGGUAAGAAUAUGUUAUCCAUUUAAUUUGCUCACUCUCAAUUCGUGGAUCUAUCACACCAGAACCAUCACUAACUCUUAGGCAAGGAACGACAGGACCAGAGAGAUUAUUAUGAGAUAAAUCAAUUAAGUUUAAGAAACCCAAAUUGCACAACUGAUUUGGAAUUUCACCUUCAAGGCUGUUAUAACUCAACGAAAGAUAGCUCAAAAAUGAAAGCCUACCAAUCCAUUCUGGAAUGGUCCCAGUCAAAGAAUUAUGGCUAAGAUCCAAUGUGAUCAACUUAGAGCAACCAUAAAAUGAAUUUCUAAUUGAUCCUUGUAGCCUGUUUUCAGAUAAGUAAACAAACACUAACUCUGAAGGGUUGAAGUUUGGUGGAAAACUUCCAAAGAUAUUGUUUUUGGAAAGGUCUAAAACCUGAAGAGAAGACAUAUUUCCCAUGGACCCUGGGAUCCUAAAAGAGAGAUGGUUAUCACUAACAUCCAACGUCCCCAAAUACGAGCACUUAUAUAAGUUAUUCGGGAUACUUCCUGUGAGCUGAUUUCCAUCCAGUUGUAAAAUUUUCAAGAAGCUAGCAUUGCCAAGUGAAGAGGGAAUGUUGCCAGUGAAACCAUUUCUAGACAUUUUCAAAACUUGUAACAUUGGGAAAGAUAUUCCAAUUCCCAUCGGAACAUGCCCAUGGAAGCCAUUAUUAGAGAUAUCUAAGUUUGACAAACCCAUAUGAGAAUGAAUAGGCAGCUGAAGAGGCCCUG